UGGGGAAUUUUGGACAAUGGGCGCAAGCCUGAUCCAGCCAUUCCGCGUGAGUGAAGAAGGCCUUCAGGUUGUAAAGCUCUUUCGCAAGGGAAGAAAACUUAGGCUCUAACAUAGCCUGAGGUUGACGGUACCCUGAUAAGAAGCACCGGCUAACUACGUGCCAGCAGCCGCGGUAAUACGUAGGGUGCGAGCGUUAAUCGGAAUUACUGGGCGUAAAGCGUGCGCAGGCGGUUUUGUAAGUCAGAUGUGAAAUCCCCGAGCUCAACUUGGGAACUGCGUUUGAAACUACAAGGCUAGAAUAUGUCAGAGGGGGGUAGAAUUCCACGUGUAGCAGUGAAAUGCGUAGAGAUGUGGAGGAAUACCAAUGGCGAAGGCAGCCCCCUGGGAUAAUAUUGACGCUCAUGCACGAAAGCGUGGGGAGCAAACAG
rnacentral:rRNA from 1 species